AUAUAAAUCAAGAGAGUAAGGUGAAUGACAAUUUCAAAAUCAUAAACAUGUCAUAGCAAGUUUGUAAUAUAUUUAAAUUAAGAUGAUAACUUUUUUGAUUAGUAAUUUAGCUAGUGUAUACUUCUUUUUAUGCGGAUGUUUAUCAGAAGGUUUCCUGUCAGGCGGCCUGACAGGAACGACCAAAUGCUGACGUCAUAAAAAACCCACGCGCAUCCACGCGCACCUUGUCACGCGCAAUCCAUUUUACCCGAGUUUUCCCCUUCCCUCUAUCCCUGCCUUCUCUCUCUCCUCCAAAAAUCUCUGCCCUCUCUCUCUCUCCUCCAAAACUCAAGCCACCUUCUUGCCGCCGUCUCCGUCACCUCACCGCCGUUGAUGUGUGUUUCUCAUCCUUCUAUAGAUCGAAGAAUGGGCCAUCACCUCCUCGUCAUUGUCCCCUCUAAAACCCUAGCAACCUUCAUUCUCUCUCCUCCUUCCUCAAUCUCUCCUCCUCGUCGCCGUUGCAAGAUGCGCGAUCUAACCCUAGCCUUUUCGUCUCCGCCGCCAGUAUACUUGAGGUGCGGCUGAGUGGGAGAUAUUGAGCGGGGAAGGAAGGAGCAAAGGCGGCGUUUUAUCUCAUUGAGCGCAAGCUUGCCGUCGUCUUCAUCGGAGGUUGUCAAAACUUAGUCUACAACCUUUAAAUCUCCGGCAAGGCAGACGUGUUUGUGUGGAGAAGACAGGUCCUUAUCGGUUUGACGGCGAUGUUUCAGAAGCUUUGAAGCAUGAGCAGAGAAACAAGUUCUUGAAUGAAAUUUUUUGGGUCAUGGUCGUAAGGGAAACAAACGGUGCAGUGACUGAUUUCUCUUUACCAAGGCCCAUUUUCUAAGUGUAUUUAUUGAUUUAGUUUAGUAAUGAUUAAAUAGGUUUUAGUUAUGUCUUUAGUUAAUAAUUUUUAUUUUUAGUUGUAUUUUUGUUAUAUUUAGUUAUGAAAUAAAAGGAUUUAGUUACAUUUGUUUGAA